rnacentral:misc_RNA from 1 species
GAAUCAAUGGGAACUUAUAAUGAAUGUUGAAUUUAAAAUAAUUAUUAGAUUGGUCAUAUGAACAAAUCAGUGCCUGGGAAGGAGUAUGAUUUGAAACUUGUAUGAUAAUUUGUGAAUUGCCAUGUGAGAAAAGAAGCUUCUCUCUCAUGAAUAAGUGAUAUUUGGAAAUCCUUAAUAUGUAAGUUUUAGAUUUCCAGAAGUUAGCUUGCAUUUUUUUAGGAGUUCUCGUGCAUCGUUCCAAAUGUUCAACUAAGUUUCAGAAAGCUUGCAAUUAGAAUCUUGGGAACAGAAGUCUCAUUGUUUCAGUGAUUAACUUUAGGCAGUGGAUUUUGUCAUUAAAUAACUUUACACUUGUCUUUAAAGAGGAUGAAAAAAUAUUAUAAAGUGAUAAUAAUCAUGCAUUGCAUAUAGGGGUGAGCAUUCGGUUCAAA